rnacentral:rRNA from 1 species
CCUAGGAAAUUGCCCUGAUGUGGGGGAUAACCAUUGGAAACGAUGGCUAAUACCGCAUGAUGCCUACGGGCCAAAGAGGGGGACCUUCGGGCCUCUCGCGUCAGGAUAUGCCUAGGUGGGAUUAGCUAGUUGGUGAGGUAAGGGCUCACCAAGGCGACGAUCCCUAGCUGGUCUGAGAGGAUGAUCAGCCACACUGGAACUGAGACACGGUCCAGACUCCUACGGGAGGCAGCAGUGGGGAAUAUUGCACAAUGGGCGCAAGCCUGAUGCAGCCAUGCCGCGUGUGUGAAGAAGGCCUUCGGGUUGUAAAGCACUUUCAGUCGUGAGGAAGGUAGUGUAGUUAAUAGCUGCAUUAUUUGACGUUAGCGACAGAAGAAGCACCGGCUAACUCCGUGCCAGCAGCCGCGGUAAUACGGAGGGUGCGAGCGUUAAUCGGAAUUACUGGGCGUAAAGCGCAUGCAGGUGGUUUGUUAAGUCAGAUGUGAAAGCCCGGGGCUCAACCUCGGAAUUGCAUUUGAAACUGGCAGACUAGAGUACUGUAGAGGGGGGUAGAAUUUCAGGUGUAGCGGUGAAAUGCGUAGAGAUCUGAAGGAAUACCGGUGGCGAAGGCGGCCCCCUGGACAGAUACUGACACUCAGAUGCGAAAGCGUGGGGAGCAAACAGGAUUAGAUACCCUGGUAGUCCACGCCGUAAACGAUGUCUACUUGGAGGUUGUGGCCUUGAGCCGUGGCUUUCGGAGCUAACGCGUUAAGUAGACCGCCUGGGGAGUACGGUCGCAAGAUUAAAACUCAAAUGAAUUGACGGGGGCCCGCACAAGCGGUGGAGCAUGUGGUUUAAUUCGAUGCAACGCGAAGAACCUUACCUACUCUUGACAUCCAGAGAACUUUCCAGAGAUGGAUUGGUGCCUUCGGGAACUCUGAGACAGGUGCUGCAUGGCUGUCGUCAGCUCGUGUUGUGAAAUGUUGGGUUAAGUCCCGCAACGAGCGCAACCCUUAUCCUUGUUUGCCAGCGAGUAAUGUCGGGAACUCCAGGGAGACUGCCGGUGAUAAACCGGAGGAAGGUGGGGACGACGUCAAGUCAUCAUGGCCCUUACGAGUAGGGCUACACACGUGCUACAAUGGCGCAUACAGAGGGCGGCCAACUUGCGAAAGUGAGCGAAUCCCAAAAAGUGCGUCGUAGUCCGGAUUGGAGUCUGCAACUCGACUCCAUGAAGUCGGAAUCGCUAGUAAUCGUGGAUCAGAAUGCCACGGUGAAUACGUUCCCGGGCCUUGUACACACCGCCCGUCACACCAUGGGAGUGGGCUGCAAAAGAAGUAGGUAGUUUAACCUUCGGGGGGACGCUUACCACUUUGUGGUUCAUGACUGGGGUGAAGUCGUAACAAGGUAGCGCUAGGGGAACCUGGCGCUGGAUCACCUCCUUA